UACGUAGGGGGGCAAGCGUUGUCCGGAAUUAUUGGGCGUAAAGAGCGUGUAGGCGGCCAGAUAAGUCCGCUGUGAAAUCUCGAGGCUCAACUUCGAGCUGUCGGUGGAAACUAUCUGGCUAGAGUCCGGAAGAGGAGAAUGGAAUUCCUGGUGUAGCGGUGAAAUGCGCAGAUAUCAGGAAGAACACCCGUGGCGAAGGCGGUUCUCUGGGACGGUACUGACGCUGGAGACGCGAAAGCCGUGGGGAGCGAACAGG
rnacentral:rRNA from 1 species